UCACACCGGUUCCCGUUCAAUCACCUAAGUUAAACAGUGUUGGGCCAUGUCAGUACUUAGAUGGGGGACAACUUGAGAACAUCAGGUGU